rnacentral:lncRNA from 1 species
CCCGCGCUCCUCCGGGCAGAGCGCGUGUGGCGGCCGAGCACAUGGGCCCGCGGGCCGGGCGGGCUCGGGGCGGCCGGGACGAGGAGGGGCGACGACGAGCUGCGAGCAAAGAUGUGCCCCGGGACCCCCGGCACCUUCCAGUGGAUUUCCUUGCGGAAAGGAUGUUGGCGGUCCCUGUGACCUGUGGAGACACGGCCAGAUCUGCCCUCCAGCCUGAUCUUUUGGCCAGAAGGAGAUUAAAAAGAUGCCCCUCAAGAUGGCUGUGCCUGUCAGCUGCAUGGAGCUUCGUUCAAGUAUUUUCUGAGCCUGAUGGAUUUACAGUGAUCUUCAGUGGUCUGGGGAAUAACGCUGGUGGAACCAUGCACUGGAAUGACACACGCCCGGCACAUUUCAGGAUACUAAAAGUGGUUUUAAGGGAGGCUGUGGCUGAAUGCCUCAUGGAUUCUUACAGCUUGGAUGUCCAUGGGGGACGAAGGACUGCAGCUGGCUGAGAGGGUUGAGAUCUCUGUUUACUUAGAUCUCUGCCAACUUCCUUUGGGUCUCCCUAUGGAAUGUAAGACCCCGACUCUUCCUGGUGAAGCAUCUGAUGCACGUUCCAUCCGGCGCUCAGCUGGGCUUGAGCUGACCAUACUCCCUGGAGCCUUCUCCCGAGGUGCGCGGGUGACCUUGGCACAUACAGCCAUCAUGAUGGUACUUUAAGUGGAGGCUGAAUCAUCUCCCCUUUGAGCUGCUUGGCACGUGGCUCCCUUGGUGUUCCCCUUUUACUGCCAGGACACUGAGAUUUGGAGAGAAUCCUGUUACACCUGGGAUUUAGGCACUUUCAAUCUGAAAAAAUACAUAUCCUUUCAGCACUCUGGACGGACUUGAGAACUGUCCUUACGUGACCUAAAGCUGGAGUAUUUUGAGAUUGGAGAAUUAAGGCCUUCAGUGGGUUGAAUGAGGCCCAACCCACAUUGAAGAGGACCAUCUGCUUUACUCAGUCUCCUGGUUGAAGUGAUAAUCUCAUCUGGACAUACUCAGAAAUGCUGUUUAACCAGCUCUCUGGAAAUCCUGUGGCCCAGUCAAGUUGACACACAAAAUUAACCAUCACACUGCAGAGACACAGUCUAUCCCAAUACCUGUAUUUACUGGAGUGUGGGCACCCUGGCUUCAAGCUCACGAGAAACCAGAAGGAAGUCACUGUGCAUAGCCAUCCCCUAAGAAGAGGGCAUUCCUGCUCUUCCUUCUCCAUGGCUAGAGGAUCUACAUGAACUAUUUAGAUUUUUUCUACCUGGGAGAUUUAACUCCUCUCUCCUAUUUAUUUAUUUAUAUAUCAGCAUGGACUUGCAGGCCAACAGAGAUUUUGAGAAACACAUUGAAGGAUCUGUUAACACUUGAUAUACCCAAUAAAAGCAGUGGUUGUGCCAGUGCUGAUCUGUCUUGAUGUGAAUGUGAACAAUGGGAACCUGAGCUGAGCAGUUAAUGCUAGGGUGACAGAAACUGGACCUCUCCCAAGACAUGUGACAGAGUAAUACAGCAGCCAACUUCUUCGCCAAAUUAAAGUUUUACAAGAUUUAACCUGUCAUCAAGACCUGGGAUUUUGGUGGGAGAGUAUCCUUGGUUAUCCAGGUGGAUCCAAUCCAAUCACACGGGCCCUUAAAGGCAGAGGUUUUCUCCGACUGUGAUCAAGAAAAUGCCAUGAAAGAUUGUAAGUGUGAGAAGGAGUUGAUGUGCCACUGCUGGCUCUGAAAUGUGGGGCCCACUUGUAGGAACUGGAGGGAGAGACUGGUUGCUAACGGUGGCCCCUAGCUAACAGCCAACAGAGAAAUGGGGACCGCCGGCCUACAGCUGCAGGGAACUGAAUUCAGCAACAUGAAUAAGUUUGGAAGAGGAUCCUUCCAGAACCUCCUGAUAGGAGCCCAGUCCGCUGUCACCUUGAAUUCAGCUUCAUGAACCAGGAGCAGGGAAACCAGCUGAGCCAACCCACAUUCUGACCUAAGGAGCACUGAGAAGGACAGAAUAACGGGCUCCCAGAUUCACAAGCCCCACCAAGAGGAUCACCCCAGGAACGCUUGGAGGCUGAGGAGUUCACUGAGGCUACUGCAUCUUGAGACUCAGGAUGAAGACCCAGCUUGGGGCUGUCAAAGGUUUUUUGCAUGUCUGACACCCAUGACUCCACCUGGACCUUAUGGCUCCACCCAGAAGCAAUUCAGCCCAACAGGAGGACAGCUUCAACCCAUUACGAUUUCAUCUCUGCCCCAACCACUCAGCAGCAAGCACCUGUUACCUGUCCACCCCCACCCCUUCCCCCAAACUGCCUUUGAAAAAUCCCUAACCUAUGAGCUUUGAAUAAGAUGAGUACGAACUUCAUCGCCCACGUGGCGUGGCCGGCCUCGUGUCUAUUAAAUUCUUUUUCUACUACAA